UACGAAGGGGGCUAGCGUUGUUCGGAUUUACUGGGCGUAAAGCGCCCGUAGGCGGCUUGUUAAGUCAGGGGUGAAAUCCUGGAGCUCAACUCCAGAACUGCCUUUGAUACUGGCAAUCUUGAGUCCGGAAGAGGUGAGUGGAACUCCUAGUGUAGAGGUGGAAUUCGUAGAUAUUAGGAAGAACACCAGGGGCGAAGGCGGCUCACUGGUCCGGUACUGACGCUGAGGUGCGAAAGCGUGGGGAGCAAACAGG
rnacentral:rRNA from 1 species